CCUAGUAAAGUGGCGGGAGCCGCAGCUAUGGAGCCGCAGGAGGAGAGAGAAACGCAGGUUGCUGCGUGGUUAAAAAAAAUAUUUGGAGAUCAUCCUAUUCCACAGUAUGAGGUGAACCCACGGACCACAGAGAUUUUACAUCACCUUUCAGAACGCAACAGGGUCCGGGACAGGGAUGUCUACCUGGUAAUAGAGGACUUGAAGCAGAAAGCAAGUGAAUACGAGUCAGAAGGUGAGAUUAAGUCCAGAGUUUUGAACGAGAAUAAAUAGAGCCAAGUAUCUUCAAGACCUUCUCAUGGAGAGUGUGAAUUUUUCCCCCGCCAAUCUCUCUAGCACUGGUUCCAGGUAUCUGAAUGCUUUGGUUGACAGUGCGGUGGCCCUUGAAACAAAGGAUACCUCGCUAGCUAGUUUUAUCCCUGCAGUGAAUGAUUUGACCUCUGAUCUCUUUCGUACCAAAUCCAAAAGUGAAGAAAUCAAGAUUGAACUGGAAAAACUUGAAAAAAAUUUAACUGCAACUUUAGUAUUAGAAAAAUGUCUACAAGAGGAUGUCAAGAAAGCAGAGUUGCAUCUGUCUACAGAAAGGGCCAAAGUUGAUAAUCGUCGUCAGAACAUGGACUUUCUAAAAGCAAAGUCAGAGGAAUUCAGAUUUGGAAUCAAGGCUGCAGAGGAGCAACUUUCAGCCAGAGGCAUGGAUGCUUCUCUGUCUCAUCAGUCCUUAGUAGCACUAUCAGAGAAACUGGCAAGAUUAAAGCAACAGACUAUACCUUUGAAGAAAAAAUUGGAGUCCUAUUUAGACUUAAUGCCGAAUCCGUCUCUUGCUCAAGUGAAAAUUGAAGAAGCAAAGCGAGAACUAGAUAGCAUUGAAGCUGAACUUACAAGAAGAGUAGACAUGAUGGAACUGUGACAAAAGCCAAAUAAACAUCCUUUUCCCUAACAAAGUAAAUUGAAUAGGACUUUACAGAGUUCUUUUUCCUCUUGGCAUUUCCUAAUAACAAAACUUUCUGUGUUCUUAGAUUACAGAAUAUCAUAAUUGAUAGAAUAUGGUUUCUUACUGUGUGUUGCAUUUUUGUGCCCAAAUACAUAGUUUUCAUAUUAAAAAGCCUUUUCUCUUA